CUUUCCCUCCUAUAAAAAAAAAACUUUCGCUCUUACCCCCAAACCCUUCGUUCUUUACUCUCACGUUCUGUGCUUCCCUGUCAUGUUCCGUUCUUCAACGUCUAUGGUGAUUGAGGCGGUUAGCUAGGCUGAGGUUGAUUUCGAUUUAACAAUUGCGCUUGUGUCUGGAGAGGAAAUUUCACAAUUUUAAGGUUCGUUUCCCUCAUCUCCUUGUUCCUGUGGAGCGUCGCCGCCGUGCCGUCACAGACUCGCGGCACCACGCCCCUCUUUGUUCGAAAGCGCAGACCCAACCUCCAGCUUCGUCAAGAUCUCAAAAGAACUCCACCAAAGCCAGCAACUUGGGAGCCAAUAAUUGAACAAAAGUAGCAAUGGAUAAGUCAUGGAUUUUGUUGCCACGAAAUUCACCUGCAUAUCAGGAAGGGGUUAAGGGAUUUUUAGACUUUGCCUUUGAGUGUAGUUCUGUUGAUGGUGCAAUAUUAUGCCCUUGUGGUCUAUGCAAUUUUAGAAAGUGGCUGACUAGGGAUGUAGUGUAUGAGCACUUAGUUAUUAAGCAAUUCCCGAGAAAUUACACCUUUUGGUUUGAUCAUGGCGAGUCCCAUGAAGUGGAAACUGAAAACAAUGGUACUGCCAAUGUGUCAAGUUUAGGACCAAACAUUGUGAAUGAUGAAGAUCCUAUCCGAAACAUGGUCAAUGAAGCUUUUGGGGUCGAUAUGCAUCGUGACAAUGAAUCAAAUGAAGGCGUCAGCCAAGGUGAAGGACCAAUGCCAAAUGUUGGGCCACAAGGAAAUCAAGCUAGAGAGUUUUAUGAGUUGGCAAAAGAUGGGGAACAACCAUUAUACGAAGGGUGCACACGGUAUUCUAAACUUUCUUUUAUAGUGAAGCUGUAUCAUAUCAAAUGCAUGUGCAAGAUGACUGAUAAGGCAAUGACAAUGAUAAUAGAACAACUACAUGAUGCAUUUGAACAUGCACAAAUUCCAAGUUCAUUUUACGAGGCAAAGAAAUAUAUAACCAAACUUGGUUUGGGCUAUGAAAAGAUACAUGCAUGUCCAAGAAAUUGUAUGUUGUAUUGGGGUGCGGAUGAAAACAGGGAACAAUGCAAAACUUGUACCAUGUCUAGAUGGAGAGAACCGAGUGGAAAUGGUGAGAAUCCGGUGUCAGAAGUUGUCAAGUGCAAGAAGAAAGUGCCUCGAAAAGUUCUUCGUUACUUUCCUUUGAAGCCUCGAUUGCAAAGAUUGUUUUUGUCUUCAAAGACUGCUAAUGAUAUGAGAUGGCAUGUUGUGUCUGCUAAUAACGAUGGCAUGAUCAGGCAUCCCAGAGACUCUGAAGCUUGGCAGCAUUUUGACUCAAAAAACACUGAUUUUAGUAAAGAUCCACGAAAUGUUCGUCUUGGUUUAGCUUCUGAUGGUUUUAAUCCUCAUAGUUUAUUGAGUGCGAGUAAUAGCAUCUGGCCCGUUAUUCUCAUACCCUACAACACUCCUCCGUGGGUGUGUAUGAAGCCGACAUCUUUUAUCCUUUCAAUGAUAAUUCCUGGUAAAAAACAACCAGGAAAUGAUAUAGAUGUUUACUUGCAGCCUCUAAUCAAGGAGUUGAAGGAAUUAUGGCAUGAUGGUGUAGAUGCUUAUGAUGCGUCGACGAAGGAGAUGUUCAAAUUACAUGCUGCUUUGAUGUGGACAAUCAGUGACUUCCCUGGGCUUUCUGUUCUCUCUGGAUGGAACACCUACACAGGACUGGCAUGUCCUACAUGUAAUUUUGACUCGGUCCCGUGCCGCCUUAAGCACAGUUUAAAGUGGUGUUUUAUGGGUCACCGUCGAUUUCUUGAUAGGAGACAUAAAUUUAGAUUGAACAAGAUUCGGUUUAAUGGACAACAAGAGUUACGUGAUGCACCAAAAUCUUUGUCAGGCUCAGAUAUUUUUGCACAGGUUAAGGACAUUAAGGUCAUCUUUGGCAGAAAAGAUAAAACAAGUGGAAAGAGAAAAAGGUCACUUGGUGAGAGAGUUCCCUCAGAAAACACCCAACAAUGGAAGAAGAAAAGCAUAUUUUUCGAGCUUCCAUAUUGGGAGCACAAUAAGUUGCGUCACAAUCUUGAUGUCAUGCACAUCGAAAAGAACGUCUGUGAAAAUAUCCUAUUCACCUUGCUGAAUGAUGGAGGUCAAAAGAUCACUUGAAAGCUCGAAAAGACCUACAAGCCAUGGGCUUUAGGCAUGAUCUUUGGCCAGAUGAGAAUGGAAAAUAUCCUUUAGCUAUUUAUACAAUGACCAAUCAAGGAAAGAAAUCCUUUUUAACAAGUUUAAGCAAUAUCACAGUGCCAGAUGGUUAUUCAAGCAACAUUUCUAGGGGCAUUGAUUUGGACAAUUUUCGAGUGAGUGGGAUGCUUAAAAGCCACGAUUUUCAUGUAUUGAUGGAGCAAUUGCUACCGCUGGCCAUGCGGACAACAUUGCCCAAUGAAGUCUCAAAAGUUUUGAAUGGAUUGGGCUCAUUCUUUAGGCAAUUGUGCGGAAAAGCUUUGAGUGUGGCUGAUUUAGAUCGAAUGCAGCAUGAUAUUGUGCUCACUCUAUGUAACAUGGAAAUUUUAUUUCCCCCUUCAUUCUUCACUGUCAUGGUCCAUUUAAUUGUUCACCUUGUUGACGAAGCUAAACUUGGAGGCCCCGUAUAUUACCGAUGGAUGUACCCUGUAGAGAGGUACUUAGGAUUACUAAAAUCAUACGUGCACAACAGGGCACAAGCCACAGGCUCCAUUGCAGAAGGUUACCUAAUGCAAGAAAUCCUAACAUUUUGUUCAAGGUACCUCGAUGAUAUUGAGACCGUAUGGAAUCGACCACGUCGUGUUGAUGAUGAACCUAAUGAUAUGCAACCGGAAACACGGGUAGCUGAAUUGUUUCCUAAAGUGGGAAAACCAGUUGGUUGCUCUUCAUAUUUCACCCUUUCAUCCAUUGAAAGGUUACAAGCUCAUCGACACAUUCUAACCAAUUGCCCAAUAGUUGAUCAAUAUUUACAGGAAUAUAGAGAUGUUGUGCGGAGGAAACUAAGAAGGCACACAAGGAGUGCGACUGAGAUAGACAAGAAGGUUCAUAAAGAGUUUGCCGAUCGGUUCUAUAAUCAUAUUUUUAAAAAUGCGGAAACCCUUGGCGAGGCAGAUAAAUCGAUUCUUCUCAGACUUGCUGAAGGGCCUGAAUAUCGAGCUAGAAGGUUCACUGCAUAUAAUGUUAACGGAUAUAAAUUUCGUACAUUAGCUCGAGACAAAGGAUUGAGAACUCAAAAUAUUGGGGUUUUUGGUUCAUUUGGCACUAGAAGUUACUCAACCAGUAGUGAUUCCCAAAUGAGAUUUGGAGGGGUCCCUUAUUAUGGGAAGUUGAUAGACAUAAUUGAAAUCAGCUACGGUGGCUUAUUCACAAUUCCUUUAUUUAAAUGUAAAUGGGCUAACACCACUAAUCCUAGAGGUAUGAAAAAAGAUGAUUUGGGUUUUACCUCUAUUAACUUCACAAGACCAAUACACACGGGAGAUCAUGAAGACGAUGAGCCUUAUAUUAAAGCUUCUGAAGCCCAUAUGAUUUUUUAUGUUGAUGAUGAGAAAGAAAAUGGUUGGAGUAUACCUGUGCAUGUGAAGUCAAGGGACUUAUAUGACAUGGGUGAAGAGAUUAGUGUAUCAGAUGAGGCAUAUCCAUCAUCUAACUUGGAGCAAAUUUUUCCGGAUAAUACUGAACCUGUACAAUUGGCAAGAGUUGUCACAAAUGAUGAUCCUGCAGAUUAUAUCAUUGAGGGAAAUAUCGAUGAAGAUGAUAUUCAAGAUUAUAUAGUUACAUGAUCUGAUUCUUCGGAUAAUACUUGCAAUUCACUUAUAUUAUCACCAUAAGAUGUUUUCACUUGUGAGGUAUGCCUAAAUCAAAGAGACAUUGUCGCAGAAGUUCUUCUUCAGCAACAACACCCCAACAAUCUGAUUCUGCACGUCACAGCGACCCUAUAUCGCAGCAUGUUGACCAUGUACAGCAGCUGAGUGAGUCUAUAACACAGCAUAGUGAGCCUAUAAAGUAGCAUAGUGAGCCUAUACCACAACAGAGUGCACCUAUAAUCAAUGAGGUUCAAAAUCAACAGCCCGCACAACGUGCUCGGAAGUCUACAAAAAAAUGGGACGUGAACCUUGUUGAUGAUGAGGGGGCUAUUACAGCUCAUAGUUUACUAUGCGAUGAUUUGAAGUAUGAUCUUCCCGGAAGUAGGAAAAUUGUUGUACUAUGGGAUGAGUUUGGUCGACCUGUUGGAAAUGCUGCUGGACUUUUGGGAGUAUUUUUAGGGGUACUUGCAUCUAGUGCUACUAAAUUACCAAUCACCUAUAUUAGAUGGCCAGAUGUUGCUAAAAUACACAAGGAUCAGGUUUAGGCUACCAUAAAG